UGGCUCAGGACGAACGCUGGCGGCGUGCCUAAUACAUGCAAGUCGAACGCUUCUUUUCCCACCGGAGCUUGCUCCACCGGGAAAAGAGGAGUGGCGAACGGGUGAGUAACACGUGGGUAACCUGCCCAUCAGAAGGGGAUAACACUUGGAAACAGGUGCUAAUACCGUAUAACAAUCGAAACCGCAUGGUUUCGUUUUGAAAGGCGCUUUACGGUGCCGCUGAUGGAUGGACCCGCGGUGCAUUAGCUAGUUGGUGAGGUAACGGCUCACCAAGGCCACGAUGCAUAGCCGACCUGAGAGGGUGAUCGGCCACAUUGGGACUGAGACACGGCCCAAACUCCUACGGGAGGCAGCAGUAGGGAAUCUUCGGCAAUGGACGAAAGUCUGACCGAGCAACGCCGCGUGAGUGAAGAAGGUUUUCGGAUCGUAAAACUCUGUUGUUAGAGAAGAACAAGGGUGAGAGUAACUGUUCACCCCUUGACGGUAUCUAACCAGAAAGCCACGGCUAACUACGUGCCAGCAGCCGCGGUAAUACGUAGGUGGCAAGCGUUGUCCGGAUUUAUUGGGCGUAAAGCGAGCGCAGGCGGUUUCUUAAGUCUGAUGUGAAAGCCCCCGGCUCAACCGGGGAGGGUCAUUGGAAACUGGGAGACUUGAGUGCAGAAGAGGAGAGUGGAAUUCCAUGUGUAGCGGUGAAAUGCGUAGAUAUAUGGAGGAACACCAGUGGCGAAGGCGGCUCUCUGGUCUGUAACUGACGCUGAGGCUCGAAAGCGUGGGGAGCAAACAGGAUUAGAUAC
rnacentral:rRNA from 1 species